CAGCGCUGGUGAUGAUGCAGAGUUAUCCCUGUCUGAAAAAGAAACCUUCCUUUGUGGAUUUCUGACUCACUGAAGCGUAG
rnacentral:snoRNA from 1 species